rnacentral:rRNA from 1 species
UCAGUUCGGAUCGGAGUCUGCAACUCGACUCCGUGAAGCUGGAUUCGCUAGUAAUCGCGCAUCAGCCAUGGCGCGGUGAAUACGUUCCCGGGCCUUGCACACACCGCCCCGUCAAGCCAUGGGAGCCGGGGGUACCUGAAGUCCGUAACCGCGAGGAUCGGCCUAGGGUAAAACUGGUGACUGGGGCUAAGUCGUAACAAGGUAGC